rnacentral:lncRNA from 1 species
CGCUGCAGCUGCGGCCACGCAGGCAGGCUCAGGAAAGGUUAUCAAGCGUUUCGUGUGAUAGCUGCUUGCACGGGGGGAGGAGAGGGCCCCGACUCACACCACCAGCGAAGGGAAGGAGCGCAGCACAUCAGAGGACACCUCCGAGCACACCUGUACGCACGCUGCCCAAAGCAGCCGCCUCUGAACCAGAGCCGUCCUCAAAGGCUGACAGCACAUGGCUCCCUUCGGUGGGGAAGGAGCUACCACCCUGCCUCCCCACCAGCCACCCAGGCCUUUUGUUUCUUUUUCAAACCACACGAAAAGGAGACACCAAAUUCAGCUGCGGACCUGCCUGGGUCAGUACGAGUGCGGGCAGCUCUCGCCAACACCCUGAACGCAUCUCUGGGUGCACGCAGCUUUUGGGGAGGGGUGCAUUAUUUGCUCCCGUGGCUGGCAAGUCCCACUGGAGACAGGCUUCAUCUGGCAGCACAGCUCCACAGCAGCAGAGCCUGGUUUCUCCCCGUGGCCAGCACGCACGCAGACACCUCGCUGCCUCGCUGCUGGGGGCAGCGGAGCUGCGGGAAGCAGCGCCCAGCGCCCACCCGCACCCUGCCAACCCCCCCGCCCGUCCCGGGGGCCUCGCAGGGCAGCAGGCUCGGGCGGGAGGGCAGCGGGAGGGCAGGGGGUGUCCGGCCAACAAGUGCCCGCUGCGGGGUGGGCGCCACGAAAUGGAGCCGGGCUCCCAGGGCUCCCGCAGCGGGCAGGGGACAGGCGGGGACACCGCGGGGCGAGCAGCAGCCGCCUGCCCCCCCCCCACACCCACCCCAGCAGCAGGUGCAGCGCCCCCAGCCCACGCGUGCCCCUGGGUGGGGGUCUCCCCGCCGCAGGCCCCGGCACCCACCUCGGCUCGGCUCGGCUCGGCGGCUGCAGCCGCCCUGCUCCUGCUGCGGCUCCGGCUCCGGCUCCUGCGGCCCCGCUGCGAGCUCUGACCCCGCGCCGGGCGCUGCUCUACCUGCGGCGGCGCGGAGCCGAGCGGGGCUGGGCCGGGCCGGGCUGCCGGGGACGGGGGGGGGCUGCCCGCAUCGCCCGGCCCCCGCCCGCCUCGGCGCCUCCCCGCCGCGGGGUGGGCCCCCGCAGCCCCCUCCUCCCGGCGGCGAGGAGGAGGAGGAGGGGAGGAAGGAGGAGGAGGAGGAGGGCCGGGAGCCCGCGUGUAACAAGUUUGGGUUGCCCCGCAGUAUGGCGGCCGCCCGGGCUGUGGUUGUGUUCCCCCUGCAGGGCGGCGGGCGAGGCCCAGCGCCUGCCAUUUGUGAGGGGCACGGCGGGGAAACGCCACCGGCAGCACCAGGCUGGGUCAGCGCGGCCCCCCCGCAGCCCAUCAGGGUCACACACCAGCGGGGCACCAGCUCCGGGGCCUCCCUCGGGAAGCAAACACCACAGCCGGGCAGGAGAGCCUGGGGAGAUGCCGUCCUCGGCAGGGCGAGGGGCACGUCCCGCCAUUUACCUGUCCGCAGCGUGGAAAAGGGUCGCGCAGCUGGGCAGGAAAACCCCCAGUGCAAAUACAGUGGCAGGGUGAAAAAUCUGUAUAGCGUAUCGUAUUGUAUUUGGGGAAUUUGCUGCGAUUUAUGCCGGCAAAAAAGAGUAAGCUGCGUCUCCUCUGGGACUGGCUGCGGGUAUUAA